GCAUUACACACUCCUGCCACCAUCAGUACGCACACCUGCCUUUCCCCGUCACGCGCAUCAGCGUAUUAUUGGACUUAAUCACCUGUUCAUUACCUCCCCUAUAUUUGUCAGUUCCCCAUCUAUGUUUCCUGCUGUUGCAUUAAUGUUCGUAUGUCGUUACCCGUGUGCUGAUGUAACAGUAUAACUUUAGACCGUCCCCUCGCCCAUACCCGGGCGCAAACCAGGGGCCCUCUGCACACAUCAACAACUGUCACCCACGAAGCGUCACCCAAGCCACGGCCCUUGCAGAGCAAGGGGAACUACUACUUCAAGGUCUCAGAGCAAGUGACGUCACCGAUUGAAACGCUAUUUAGCGCGCACCCUAACUCGUCUAGCCGUUUCACAUCCGUUACACUGACGCUGUUCCUGUCUUGUUACCGGUCUGUUCCGCAUUAAAUGUUCAACUCCCCGUACCUGCUUCUCAUCUCCAGCGUCGGUCCUUAUAGGAUGGCCAUCCUGCUAACUGAUUUAAGUUUCUUAGGUGAAUUUAUUCAUGGGUGCCAAAGGAAGCCAGGCAUCCCCAAAACAUUGACCAGAAAAUAGAGUGGAGAAAGCAACCUCGUGAGAAACAUCGCCCCUCUGUGAAGAACAUCAAUCUGAAGCUGUCUGGUCAGUAACAUAUGACAUUGUUGCAGCCCGUAACAUUGAAUACAAGGGAAGCCAGCAAGCAUUUGACCUCACUUGAUUAAAAAAAAAUAGAUUCAAAUUGCCAAUCCGCAUUGAGCUAAACUGAGUGAGCUCAACAGUGAAUGGUCCUGGUGCACCAAAAUAAAGUGUAAAGAGAAACCAGUUUGGAUUUGGCUUCAGACCAAUCACAUCACCCCAAAAGCCAAAAGUAAUUUACAGAAAACUUUAAUUGUUGCAUCUCAUUGUGUUGUCUUCCGGUGGUUUGCUAGCUAGCUAAAAUAGUAAAUUUCCUAAUUUAAUAAACCAUAAAUGGAAUUAGGGAUUUGGACUUGUAGUUUUACUUAAUUCUCCGUACUGGCCAAUGAUAACGGCAAUUCUGAUCCAACUAUAAAUUCAUACAUUGUGCCCCUGGACUGAAAGGAUGGAAGAUCCACAUGUUGCUAGAUGUAGUAGGCUAAUUUUAACGAGCUGGCCUGGCAUUUUAGCCAGGUAGCCUAGAACAACAAACUAAAACUGUGUACUGUAUGAUGACAGAGUCAUAGACCGUUUAGGCAACAUGAAAGAGGAGGAUGGAGUCCCAGAGUAGGGUGAGUCAACAUGUUUUUUCUACUUGUGUACACACACACACACGGACAGCCAAAUCAUAUUUAGUUUAUUGGACUAAAUAGUUUUAGGUAUCUUUUAGUUGUCACUGUAUUAGACUAUGCAGAGGUGAUUAGAUGUUGAAAUAGUGCUGGAAUAGUGUACGCAGCGCAGCGCCUGUUUUCUUUUGGACUUGGGGUAUCUCUGUGGUUCUAAAACUUUUAGUUGUUUAGUCGUCCAAAAAUAUUGGAAACAUUAACUUGCUUGACCAUGCUCAGGGUCAUGUAACUGUGUGUUAAAUGCAAUAUAUUUUGUGGACUUCACCACACAGAUGUUGCUUUCCAGUCUUGUGAUGAAACAAAGGUAUGAUUGAAUUUAUUCUGCCACUAAAUCUUCUCAGUGGCAGAAUAUAUUUAAAUGUAAAACCUCAAGACCCUUAAAACCUAGCAGUAAAACCCGGUAAUGGUUCCAAUCGUUUUUUCACCAUUCAUUUUUUGCAUCUGGGAUUUUAGAACUACUUCAUAUAAGGUCUGUGUUUGGUGUAGGCUUACCCUGGCGUGACGUCUUCAUAACCGUGUAAUUCUAUCGGACAAGGUACGUUUUUAUCAAUGUAUUCGCCUCAAUUUACUCAAAAUAAUUCUAAAUGCAAAGUAGCAACAGAGAAGACCCCAGCAAGACUACAAAUUCAUGCCAACACUGUCGUCAGCUACCGUUCACCUGCGCAACCAGAGACCUGUCCAAUCC
ensembl:lncRNA